ACAAAAUUGACCUUUAAAAGGGUCAAAAGCACUUUCCAGAUCUCAAGGUCUUACUCUUUUCAAACUGCGAGGUCAUCUGAUAUUUGCAACAUCAUGUAGUUAUUCAUGUUAAAUGCUGAUGGCCUGUGGAGAAUGUUACGAUCUUACCAGACAAGGCUAAGUCUUUCUGUUAGAUUCACUUUUGGUCUAACUUCACAUGUUAGAGUUCUCACCAGUCGCCUAGUAGUCGCCUAACAGGAUACCGUAAAAAAUGGGGGCAAUAUGUAAAGUGAGGGCUCUUCUGAAGGAACAAGCAGGACAGCAACUGAAAGAACGCAUGGGAAGAAUGGAAAUUCCGAAAAUAGCACUCUGAUGCUUUGUUUGUAUUUUCUGGGCAAGCUGAUAAGUAGCAAAAAUUGACACUCUCCCUAGGAAUAACUUCCUAGCUCUGGUGGAAGUCAACUUCAGGAAUAGGUUUCCCAUGCUGCUGCUUAUGAAACGGGAGUAUUUGUAUUCUGCUCGUGUUAAUUCUCCAAUUGUUUCAGAGUAACUGCACUAUUCCAGACCUUCAAUCCCACCUACCUUUCUUGGAAAUGACACUGCUGCCACCUACUAUGAAUGGGAGACAGAAACCUGGGACAGAUUCCCCAGGUCUCUGAUGCUGAAUGUGCCCUGGAGAGAGAUGUGGAUGCUCACAAUGGCUCAGCAUGGUUCUUGGCACUGGUGCUUGGAGGAGGCAGGGGGACUACAGAGCCUGAGGAGAUAAGUAAGCAGCAAGCUGCUGGCUUCCAAGUGGUGCAGAGUGGCUCCAAGUCUUCCUAUGUGACUCAUCACUCUUCAGAGUUUUUCCUAAAGUUCAAGGCUAAAUAGACAAAUCUUGUCCACAGAUGAACUUAUAACAGAGCUUUUAUUCUUUUACUGGGUCUCAGCUUCUCCCUAUUUAUGUCAAUCAUUCUGAUCACUGAAAUUUAUACAGUAUUGCUGCAUAUGAUUUUGUUUCAUUUUCCUGUAAAUGUAGAAAGUGAUUAAAACAAGACUCAUCCUGUAGUACUUGAAUUCAAGCAAUAAAGGCUCAUGGCAACAACA
rnacentral:lncRNA from 1 species